UUGUUGCAGUUAAAAAGCUCGUAGUUGGACCUUGGGCAGGAGGCACGGGUUGGCCGAAUGGCUCGACUCGGGUCUCCGGCCUCUAUGGGUGGUCGUGCCUUUGGUACGGUUCGCCCGGGUUACUGUGAAGAAAUUAGAGUGUUUAAAGCAGGCGAUUGCUUGGAUACAUCAGCAUGGAAUAACAAGAUAGGACCUGGUUCCACUUGUUGGUUUGGGGGCUUUGGUAAUGAUUAAUAGGGCCAGUUGGGGGCAUUAGUAUUCAGUAGUCAGAGGUGAAAUUCUUGGAUUUACUGAAGACUAACUAGUGCGAAAGCAUUUGCCAAGGAUGUUUUCAUUAAUCAAGAACGAAAGUUAGGGGAUCGAAGACGAUCAGAUACCGUCGUAGUCUUAACUAUAAACGAUGCCGACUCGGGAUCGGCAGACGUCGUUAGCGACACUGUCGGCACCGUGUGAGAAAUCAAAGUUUUUGGGUUCUGGGGGGAGUAUGGUCGCAAGGCUGAAACUUAAAGGAAUUGACGGAAGGGCACCACCAGGAGUGGAGCCUGCGGCUUAAUUUGACUCAACACGGGAAAACUCACCAGGUCCGGACAUAGUAAGGAUUGACAGAUUGAGAGCUCUUUCUUGAUUCUG
rnacentral:rRNA from 1 species